GACGAACCGUGCAAACGUUAUUCGGAAUCACUGGGCUUAAAGGGCGCGUAGGUGGUUGAUCAAGUCUGGGGGGAAAUCUUUCGGCUUAACCGGAAAAGUGCCUUGGAUACUGAUCAGCUGGAGGGAGGUAGGGGCAGUUGGAACUUCCAGUGGAGCGGUGAAAUGCGUUGAUAUUGGAAGGAACGCCGGUGGCGAAAGCGAACUGCUGGACCUCUUCUGACACUGAGGCGCGAAAGCUAGGGGAGCAAACGGG
rnacentral:rRNA from 1 species